rnacentral:lncRNA from 1 species
UACAUGCUUAGUGUAAAAGAAUAUAUUUCAUAAUGUAUUCUUAGAUAAGGUUUUGUAGAGAUUUUACACUUGAUAUAUCCCUUAGUGUCCAUGUGAUAAUUUGUAUACUCAGUGUUCUAAGGAUACAUUUACAGUCCUCCAAACAAUCGAGUAGCUUUUUCCUCUCAUACUGCUAUCCUUGACAAAUCAGUCUAAACAUUUUAUAUACAUAUCCUUUGGUACUGGAGAUUUAACUCAGAGCCACUUUACCAAUGAGCCACAUUCCCAGCAUUUUUUUUUUCUUACUUUUUAUUUAGAGACAGCAUCUCACUAAGUUAUUGAGACUGGCUUCAAACUUGCAAUCCUUUUGCUUCAGCCUCCCAGAUCUCUAGGAUUACAGGCAUGCACAUAACAUCUAGCUUAAAAAUUUAUAUUAAAUAAAGAGAAUGUCUUUACAUUUCUUUAUUUUUCUAUGAUCCAUGUAAAUAUGACUAAAAGUUUUGUGCUAAUCCCACUCUCUGUGACACGCCCCUGAGUUUUAUUUUAGUUUUGUUCUUCAACAGGCUUGAUGCUCAUACCUCUGGAGCAAUAGGAAUUUGUUUGGGAUUUGUUAUUGCAGUUGCUAUAGUGGCUAAAGAUAGAAACUCUUGGUUUCUGUGAAAAGGGAGACAGUGCACUUGAGUUUUCUGCACUGAAACUGGAAACCAUGUACAGGUAAAGCAGUUCUGAACCAGAUCAUCUCCUUUUCCUAAAUGUGAAAAAUUAUACAUGAGACCCAUUUGCCUAAAAAUUACCAGGUGUUCCCCAUGUGGCUAGGCACUCUGGGCAUAGCACUGCACUAAGUGUUGACAAUCCUAGAGUAAGGGUCUUUACUCUUUCAGAAUAGUGUGUUCAUGGCUUCCUCAACUGCAUACUAAAAUUUUGCAAAAGUGUGGAAAAUUGUUUUGAGGUCACUGAAAAAAAAUUAGUACUAAAAGAAGCUGUUUCCCUUUACAAAAAUAAAACUUCAUGUGGGCCAUGGUGGUACACACCUGUAAUCCCAACAACUUGGGAGGCUGAGGCAGGAGGAUCCUGAGUUCAAAGCCAGCCUCAGCAAAAGUGAGGUGCUAAGCAACUCAGAGAGACUCUAUCUCACUGAUAGAGUCUCUAAAUAAAAUACAAAAUAGGGCUAGGGAUGUGGUCAGUGGUGAGUGCUACUGAGUUCAAUCCCUCGUACAGAAAAAAAGAAAAAUAAAUAAACCCCGCUGGGAUGUGGCUCAGUGGUAAAGUGCCC